CCAGCUUCUAUGGUUGCUCUCUCCAUUGUAUAAUAUAUUGCUCAGUGAGCUUCAUGUGCACAAAACUUUGUAAAUAUGGCGUCCAUUCCAUAACAGAAUUGAUUCAAAAGCAGACUGUGUCAUUACCUUCAUACCAAUUAAUUGGGACAAUAAUCACCGGAGUCUUGGGCUAGGUAGUGGACUAACUGGACUUUACUUCAUGUACCAUAUUUCUGUAUGACCCUAUAGCUAUGGCGAUGUUAAGAGAAGAGAGAAGCUUCCACAAAAAAAUUAGAUUACUGAUAGCACACCUCCAAGCAAUAUGUCCAAAAACGAGUCCACCAGAUGUGAAAUAUUUUGAUAAUUCCACAAAAUUUGAACCAAGACAACUUGAUGGAAGUUCAUGUGGGGUUUUUGUAUCCAUAGUAGCUGAUUAUAUGGUCAAUGGUUUGGAUGUGAACUUUACACAGGUAAUCAUAUCAAAGUACAAUUUCUAGUAACUACAUCAUUUAUUAAACCACAGAAAAAAUC
rnacentral:misc_RNA from 1 species